AAGGCCUGUGUGCGCGCUGAGUCUCUGGUCAUGCUAAGCGGAAAUGUGAGUUGUUGAGUGUACGAGUAGUGUUCAUAAAUUCGCGUUCACCAGUAAUACGUGAGGCUUGUCGGGACACUCCAGCUGCUCAGGAUGAAGUCGUAGUAAAGCGUGAUCCAAAAGAAAGGACCUUGGAUCGCCGGUAGGUGGCUGAGGGCAGGGAGGGAGCGGAGCGGAGCCACACACACCAUCCCCCCCUGCGGCCGGCAAGACACUGCUGCAUCCCUGGCAGCAUUCACCCUCCCACAGAGUUUGUUCGUGAGGAUCCAUCAACGAGUAUGAUUAAGAGCUUGGGCUGAGUGAUGCCUGGAACCUUUUGAGGUACGUGUGUGUGUUUACGUGUGUGGGGGGAAAAGGUUGGAGGGGUGGAGGGAUGAGUUUGUGGAUGGGUGGGUGGACGUGUA